AUACGAAGGCGGCAAGCGUUGUUCGGAUUUACUGGGCGUAAAGGGCGCGCAGGCGGAUCGAUAAGUCGUCUGUGAAAUCUGCCGGCUCAACCAGCAGCCUGCAGUCGAAACUAUCGGUCUUGAGUAUGGGAGAGGAGAGCGGAAUCUCUGGUGUAGCGGUGAAAUGCGUAGAUAUCAGAGAGAACACCGGUGGCGAAGGCGGCUCUCUGGCCUAAUACUGACGCUGAGGCGCGAAAGCUAGGGGAGCGAACGGGAUUAGAAACCCCAGUAGUCC
rnacentral:rRNA from 1 species